GGGCCGCAGGGCCACAGGGCCAAAGAGACCCAGAAGUGAGUGGGACAUGCAGUCAUGGGGUCCAGAAAGUCACUGUCUACACAGUUAGCACUUGGGUAAGAUAUGAGUCCCCUGUGCGCUGUCUCCUGGGACAAGGGCUACCAGUCUUGAGCAUCUCCUAGGUGACAGAGUGUGUUCUAAGUAGGCACUUCAAGUGACUUGACACAAGAUAAUCAUAUGAGAUGCUCAGCCCCUACUCGGCUGGCUCCAAGGCAGCAAGUGGACAGCAGAGGCGUGCAGUGGAAGGGCCCGGGCCGGGGACAGCGGUUCACAUCAUGGUAGCCAGGAAGCAGAGAGAGAAGGGAGAAAGCAGGAGCGAAGACACUGCCUCCCAAGUCACACCGCCAGUGGCUGGCCUCUGGGACCGGGCCGUACCCCCUAACACCUCAUUCAGCUCAGAACUCCUCCUGGGACGAAUCCACGGGUGAGCACGGCAUCUCCAUGAUCCAGUCACCUCCCGAGAGCCCAGCCUGUGAACACGAUGCUGUCAACAGCCCUCACUAGAGCAGAACAGAUGCUGGCACCACACCCUUGGACCUCUGGAAUGCUGGGCUAAGAAAACCUCUUUCCUUCAUACAUGACCCAGCACCGGGUACUUAAUUAUAACAACACGAAACACUAACACAGUAUUUUAAGUGCUUGGUGCAGCAAGAGCCUCACAAUGAGACACAGUGCAGAGCAAAGGGAUGUAUAAGACGAUCCACCCCAUUUGGAGCCUUCUCCCUCCAUGUCCGUGCAUUCAUUUGUAUGUUGCUGAAUAACCACCUAGUCACGUGUCACAUAACAGCGUAGUGCUCAGCAAUGGACUGCAGCCACGACAGUGGUUCCGCAUUGCCCGCCCGCAUCCCCGCCGCCUUGGUCUGCGUAAGCCCACGCUGGUGGUCACCCAAUGACACAAUCACCUAACGAUGUAAUUCUCAGAACAUAAUUCCAUUGUGAAGCCAUGGAUAACUGUCAUUUAAAUCAGUGGGGCUGGGGAUGUGGCUGCAUGGUAGGGUGUUGGCUGAACUGAGGCUUCCCGCCAACUACCGGCAGGGACUUGUUGCACGGAUGGCGAGCCACACCCGAAGUGGCUGCUCCCACUGGUGGAGCCUUCAGGACACCUCGGGCCCCCUUCCUCAGAGACCCACAGCGUCGCAAAGCCCAGCCACCCAGAAGCCAUUCUCCAUCACCGGAUGUGGUCCUUGGAAUGUUACUGAGCUCCCAGCCCAUCCUUUGUUAGCCUCCUAAUGAAAUAAAUGAUUCUCCUGCAGACAGGAGACGGGAGUAAGGAGAAGGUAAGUGAAAAAGACAGCU